rnacentral:lncRNA from 1 species
UGGAGAUUCUCCAGGGACCCUUCCGUAUCUGCCUAGGCAUUUUGCUGUCUCCUCCUAAUACGCUGUUGCUGUACUGGACACUUGCUCCCAUCUACUUUCUUCUCUGGAAUCCACGGGGAUUCCUAAGGAUGUCACCACAGUGUUGGCCAGAUGCACAGGUCACAGGGGACUGAACCUCAUCACCCCACAAACAUACCAUUCAGGUUUUGCCAAGAAUGACACUGUAAAUGUAACAAAGCUUCUGUGCUUGUUAGUGAACACCAACUCAGCUCCUCUCCUGUAUUCAGAAAUCAGGAUGAGAUGAAAACAACAAGCAGGCCAGGCACGGUGGCUCAUGCCUGUAAUCCCAGCACUUUGGGAGGCCGAGGCGGGCGGAUCACCUGAGGUCGGGAGCUCGAGACCACCCUGAUCAAAACAGAGAAACCCCAUCUCUACUGAAAAUACAAAAUUAGCCAGGCGUGGUGGCAAAUGCCUGUAAUACCAGCUACUCAGGAGCUGAGGCAGGAGAAUUGCUUGAACCCGGGAGGUGGAGGCUGCAGUGAGCCAGGAUCACACCACUGCGCUCUAGCCUGGGCAACAAGAGCGAAACUCUGUCUCAAAAGAAAAAAAAUUAAAAAUAAAAGAACAAGGAAACAAAAGUAACAAGGCUUGAAGCCAGAUGAGCCUGAAUCUAAGCAAGAAAAGCCCAGAAGAAAUCCCAUUUUGGGUCACUGGCUGCAUGGUAGUAAUACCAUACACAUAAGGGAAGAGAGGAGGAUGUGGCUUUCACUUUGAAUUUUUUGAGCUUAAGGUAACUUUUGCGUAGCUACAAAGAAGAAUUCAACAGAGAUUUAAACCUAUGAUGGAAAGACUGAAGGGGUCCAAGCUGUAGAGAAACAGGACUGCAAACCACAAAGGGCAGAAUCAGUCAAGGAGAGCUUCAGGGUGGGAUGAACAGGGACCAAUGGAACAUUUGGACAAGCUGUUGAGAAGAAAGGAAAAUUCAGAGAAAAAGAACUGUCAGUGAGGUCAUAAUAGGAACUGUUACAGUGAACUAAAUAUGGCCUGGGAAGGACUCUGUACUUCUAGAUUUGAGUCCCUGUGGACAAACUGCAACCUAACUUAAUAGGUAGAAAGACUGAUAACCUAACUUUGGAGUAUGCACCUGUAACUAUAGCUGAGUCCUGGCCAAUCCCAACAGCCAAACUUCUGCCACUCACACACUGCUGAGUGUUCAGCUGUGUUCAAAUAAGGCAAAUGCUGAGCACCGUAACCAGUCCAGUUGUUUCUGGACCUCACUGCUGAGAACUGUAACGGACCCAGUUGCUUCUGGACCUUACUCCUCACUUCAGAUUUCUGUACAUCAUGUUCCCUUUAUUACCUAUAAAUCUUCCACCAUGU